AAAGGCUGAAACUCGAGUCAACUCCGGAGGAUUUCGAGUCGACUCCAAGUGUUUCAGACGUUCUGGCACAGGCUCGAGUCGACUCUGGCACACUGCGAGUCGACUCCGACUGAGAACAGACAGCAAGACAGAAAGAUGAAUCUCAGACCCUGUCACCGAGUCGACUCCUGAAGAAUUCGAGUCGACUCCGAUGAUUGCCGAGUCGACCCCC
rnacentral:lncRNA from 1 species